GACGAACGCUGGCGGCGUGCUUAACACAUGCAAGUCGAACGGAAAGGCCCUGCUUUUGUGGGGUGCUCGAGUGGCGAACGGGUGAGUAACACGUGAGUAACCUGCCCUUGACUUUGGGAUAACUUCAGGAAACUGGGGCUAAUACCGGAUAGGAGCUCCUGCUGCAUGGUGGGGGUUGGAAAGUUUCGGCGGUUGGGGAUGGGCUCGCGGCUUAUCAGCUUGUUGGUGGGGUAGUGGCUUACCAAGGCUUUGACGGGUAGCCUGCCUGAGAGGGUGACCGGCCACAUUGGGACUGAGAUACGGCCCAGACUCCUACGGGAGGCAGCAGUGGGGAAUAUUGCACAAUGGGCGGAAGCCUGAUGCAGCAACGCCGCGUGCGGGAUGACGGCCUUCGGGUUGUAAACCGCUUUCGCCUGUGACGAAGCGUGAGUGACGGUAAUGGGUAAAGAAGCACCGGCUAACUACGUG
rnacentral:rRNA from 1 species